GAUUUGCAUGCACUUUGGGGACUUCUUCAUAUACCAGUUACACCCUGUGCAGUUGCCAUUGCAGUCAAGUCUUAACAUGGACAUACGGGCCCCUGUUCAGUUCCUUGGGAUCCUGCUACUCUGGCUUCUUGGUGCCCGAUGUGACAUCAAGAUGACCCAGUCUCCCUCCUCCCUGUCUGCAUCUCUGGGAGAAAGAGUCACCAUCAGUUGCAGGGCAAGUGAGAAUAUUAACAAUAUUUUGGCCUGGUAUCAGAAGAAAGAAGAUGGAAGUGUUAAACUCCUGAUUUACUACACAUCAAAUCUACAAUCUGGGGUCCCAUCAAGGUUCAGUGGCAGUGGGUCUGGGAAAGAUUACUCUCUUACCAUUAGUGGCCUAGAAUCUGAAGAUAUUGCGACUUACUAUUGUCAGCAAGGUUAUACCCCACCCACAAUGUUACAAGUCAUAACAUAA